UGUUGCAGUGGCACAGGAUGCGGCUGCGCUGUGGUCGCAGCAGGUGCAGCCACUGUUUGAUCAGUACUGUGUGAA
rnacentral:tRNA from 1 species